GGUGCCUUUUCAGGAAAGGAUUGUACCAAGGUGGACCGCUCAGCUGCUUAUGCUGCCCGUUGGGUGGCAAAGUCCCUCAUUGACAGAGAUCUGUGCAGAAGGGUGCUUGUGCAGGUCAAUUACGCUAUUGGAGUUGCUCACCCAUUAUCGAUUUCCAUUUCCCAUUACGGCACCUCUGAGAAGAGUGAGCAAGAGCUAGUAGAUAUUGUGAAGAAGAAUUUUGACCUCCGCCCUGAAGUCAUUGUCAGGGAUCUGGAUCUGAAGAAGCCAAUUUAUCAGAGGACUGCAGUCUAUGGCCACUUUGGCAGGGAAGGCUUCCCCUGGGAAGUGCCCAAAAAGUUUAAAUAUUAAGUGUCAGCCGUUUCCUCCCAGACUUGCUGGCGUGGGCUACAGAGAAGGCUCCACGCUCUGAGGGAAAGACCCCCUUCCUACAUUUGUCCUGUCCUCCGUCAGCUCCUGAUCACCUGCUGUCCCUCUGCGGUCAGCGAUGUGAAUUGUAGCUCUGGGGGGGGGCUGGCUGUAUGUUGGGCUUGAUCUCUGUCCCUGGUGUGUGUUCACCAUGAUAAUACAUUAAUUGGGCACUGGUGAUCCUUGUAACUGCCUAGAAGCAGACAACACUAUAGUGAAUAAAGCACUGAAAUUGA